GGAUUGUGGCUCAGUAGCAGAGCACUUGCCUAGCAUGUGUGGGGCACUGGGUUCGAUCCCCAGCACCA
rnacentral:tRNA from 1 species